rnacentral:rRNA from 1 species
UACUGGAUACUACCUCUUACCGCAUGGUGGGUGGUGGAAAGGGUUUUACUGGUUUUGGAUGGGCUCACGGCCUAUCAGCUUGUUGGUGGGGUAAUGGCUCACCAAGGCGACGACGGGUAGCCGGCCUGAGAGGGUGACCGGCCACACUGGGACUGAGACACGGCCCAGACUCCUACGGGAGGCAGCAGUGGGGAAUAUUGCACAAUGGGCGGAAGCCUGAUGCAGCGACGCCGCGUGAGGGAUGACGGCCUUCGGGUUGUAAACCUCUUUCAGUAGGGAAGAAGCGAGAGUGACGGUACCUGCAGAAGAAGCGCCGGCUAACUACGUGCCAGCAGCCGCGGUAAUACGUAGGGCGCAAGCGUUGUCCGGAAUUAUUGGGCGUAAAGAGCUCGUAGGCGGUUUGUCGCGUCUGCUGUGAAAGCCCGGGGCUCAACCCCGGGUCUGCAGUGGGUACGGGCAGACUAGAGUGCAGUAGGGGAGACUGGAAUUCCUGGUGUAGCGGUGAAAUGCGCAGAUAUCAGGAGGAACACCGAUGGCGAAGGCAGGUCUCUGGGCUGUUACUGACGCUGAGGAGCGAAAGCAUGGGGAGCGAACAGGAUUAGAUACCCUGGUAGUCCAUGCCGUAAACGUUGGGCACUAGGUGUGGGGGACAUUCCACGUUUUCCGCGCCGUAGCUAACGCAUUAAGUGCCCCGCCUGGGGAGUACGGCCGCAAGGCUAAAACUCAAAGGAAUUGACGGGGGCCCGCACAAGCGGCGGAGCAUGCGGAUUAAUUCGAUGCAACGCGAAGAACCUUACCAAGGCUUGACAUUCACCGGACUACCCCAGAGAUGGGGUUUCCCUUCGGGGCUGGUGGACAGGUGGUGCAUGGUUGUCGUCAGCUCGUGUCGUGAGAUGUUGGGUUAAGUCCCGCAACGAGCGCAACCCUCGUUCUAUGUUGCCAGCACGUGAUGGUGGGGACUCAUAGGAGACUGCCGGGGUCAACUCGGAGGAAGGUGGGGAUGACGUCAAAUCAUCAUGCCCCUUAUGUCUUGGGGCUUCACGCAUGCUACAAUGGCCGGUACAAAGGGUUGCGAUACUGUGAGGUGGAGCUAAUCCCAAAAAGCCGGUCUCAGUUCGGAUUGAGGUCUGCAACUCGACCUCAUGAAGUCGGAGUCGCUAGUAAUCGCAGAUCAGCAACGCUGCGGUGAAUACGUUCCCGGGCCUUGUACACACCGCCCGUCAAGUCACGAAAGUUGGUAACACCCGAAGCCGGUGGCCUAACCCCUUGUGGGAGGGAGCCGUCGA